rnacentral:rRNA from 1 species
GAUGAACGCUGGCGGCGUGCCUAAUACAUGCAAGUCGAGCGAACGGACGAGAGGCUUGCUUCUCUGAUGUUAGCGGCGGACGGGUGAGUAACACGUGGAUAACCUACCUAUAAGACUGGGAUAACUUCGGGAAACCGGAGCUAAUACCGGAUAAUAUUUUGAACCGCAUGGUUCAAAAGUAAAAGACGGUCUUGCUGUCACUUAUAGAUGGAUCCGCGCUGCAUUAGCUAGUUGGUAAGGUAACGGCUUACCAAGGCAACGAUGCAUAGCCGACCUGAGAGGGUGAUCGGCCACACUGGAACUGAGACACGGUCCAGACUCCUACGGGAGGCAGCAGUAGGGAAUCUUCCGCAAUGGGCGAAGGCCUGACGGAGCAACGCCGCGUGAGUGAUGAAGGUCUUCGGAUCGUAAAACUCUGUUAUUAGGGAAGAAUAUAUGUGUAAGUAACUGUGCACAUCUUGACGGUACCUAAUCAGAAAGCCACGGCUAACUACGUGCCAGCAGCCGCGGUAAUACGUAGGUGGCAAGCGUUAUCCGGAAUUAUUGGGCGUAAAGCGCGCGUAGGCGGUUUUUUAAGUCUGAUGUGAAAGCCCACGGCUCAACCGUGGAGGGUCAUUGGAAACUGGAAAACUUGAGUGCAGAAGAGGAAAGUGGAAUUCCAUGUGUAGCGGUGAAAUGCGCAGAGAUAUGGAGGAACACCAGUGGCGAAGGCGACUUUCUGGUCUGUAACUGACGCUGAUGUGCGAAAGCGUGGGGAUCAAACAGGAUUAGAUACCCUGGUAGUCCACGCCGUAAACGAUGAGUGCUAAGUGUUAGGGGGUUUCCGCCCCUUAGUGCUGCAGCUAACGCAUUAAGCACUCCGCCUGGGGAGUACGACCGCAAGGUUGAAACUCAAAGGAAUUGACGGGGACCCGCACAAGCGGUGGAGCAUGUGGUUUAAUUCGAAGCAACGCGAAGAACCUUACCAAAUCUUGACAUCCUUUGACAACUCUAGAGAUAGAGCCUUCCCCUUCGGGGGACAAAGUGACAGGUGGUGCAUGGUUGUCGUCAGCUCGUGUCGUGAGAUGUUGGGUUAAGUCCCGCAACGAGCGCAACCCUUAAGCUUAGUUGCCAUCAUUAAGUUGGGCACUCUAAGUUGACUGCCGGUGACAAACCGGAGGAAGGUGGGGAUGACGUCAAAUCAUCAUGCCCCUUAUGAUUUGGGCUACACACGUGCUACAAUGGACAAUACAAAGGGCAGCGAAACCGCGAGGUCAAGCAAAUCCCAUAAAGUUGUUCUCAGUUCGGAUUGUAGUCUGCAACUCGACUACAUGAAGCUGGAAUCGCUAGUAAUCGUAGAUCAGCAUGCUACGGUGAAUACGUUCCCGGGUCU